rnacentral:piRNA from 1 species
UGGUUAGGCCUGGGAUUGAGCUAACC